AACGAACGCUGGCGGCAUGCCUAACACAUGCAAGUCGAACGAGACCUUCGGGUCUAGUGGCGCACGGGUGCGUAACGCGUGGGAACCUGCCCUUAGGUUCGGAAUAACUCCCCGAAAGGGGUGCUAAUACCGGAUAAUGUCUUCGGACCAAAGAUUUAUCGCCUUUGGAUGGGCCCGCGUUGGAUUAGCUAGUUGGUAGGGUAAAAGCCUACCAAGGCGACGAUCCAUAGCUGGUCUGAGAGGAUGAUCAGCCACACUGGGACUGAGACACGGCCCAGACUCCAACGGGAGGAAGCAGUGGGGAAUAUUGGACAAUGAGCGAAAGCCUGAUCCAGAAGUGCCGCGUGAGUGAUGAAAGCCUUAGGGUUGUAAGGCUCUUUUACCCGGGAUGAUAAUGACAGUACCGGGAGAAUAAGCUCCGGCUAACUCCAUG
rnacentral:rRNA from 1 species